rnacentral:rRNA from 1 species
UACGUAGGCAGCGAGCGUUGUUCGGAGUUACUGGGCGUAAAGCGUGCGUAGGCGGCGGUCCAUGUCUGGUGGUGAAAUCUCCCGGCUUAACUGGGAGGGUGCGCCGGAAACGGGGCUAGCUGGAGUGCGGGAGAGGGUAAGCGGAAUUCCGGUGUAGCGGUGAAAUGCGUAGAUAGUCGGGAGGAACACCUGCGGUGUAGACGGCUUACUGGACCGUGACUGACGCUGAGGCACGAAAGCGUGGGUAGCAAACAGG